rfam:Gossypium raimondii Chr13_contig_1355, whole genome shotgun sequence.
UAUUAAAAAUUUCAUCCAUUUAUAUUGUUAAAAACUAGCAUGGUUGACGAAAUAAUUAGAUAAUUACACAUGGCGUGCCAUGUGUACCUCAUGCUGAUGUACAAGGAUCCAAAAAUAGAUAGAAUUUUUAACA